ACUCAAGUUCCCAGUAAAGACAAGCAACAUUUCAUUGAUUCAUUCUUCUUUUCCUUUUAUUGAGAUUUUCGAAAUUCUUUAUUCAAUUAUAAAUUACGAAACUGAAAUGUGAAAUUCUUGAGUAGUCUACUUCCCCCGAAUGACAAAUCCCCUUACCUUAAAUUAAAUAAAUUAAAGGAAAGAAGUGCCUUGGAAUUCAUAAGGGAUUUUUUUGUCUAUGUAUCGUUCCUUUCGAUCUUUUAGGUCCUGCUUCACCUCGACGGUUAUGCCACGAUAUACUUAAAGCCUAUAUGCGAUGUAUAGACUCCCCAACCAUGACAUAUUUGCUUACUUGAGGAACAGAAUUUCAUUUUUUUUUUUCACGAGGUACAACUAGAAAUUCUUAUUUAUUUUUUACUGAAUCGACCAUAGACCAAUUCCCCUUUUCGUUUUUGGGGGAGUAUUGAAUACACCCAUCGGUCUGAGCUUCAUGUGACUCCUCCAAAGAGACAUGUCAGGUUCAGGGCAUCCCAAUUCGAUUGCCUGGGAUGACAGUUUCAUAUUUCGAAUCUGUAAAAUCAAAAUUUCGAUCAAAUCACACAUCGCAAUAUACUAGGCCUUCUAAUUCUUUAAGAGGUUUAUCUAAAAGAUUCGCGAUAUAACUAGGAAGACGUUUCAAAUACCACACGUGGGUUACUGGGCAUCCCAGUUUUAUGUAUCCCAUUUGAUAUCUUCGUAUCCGAGAAUCAACAAAUUCAACCCCACAUUGUUCACAAAAUUGCGGGUCUUCUUUUUCAUCUCCGAUUAUUCGAUAAUUUCCACAAGCACAAAUUCCACUUUUAAUAGGCCCAAAAAUUCUUUCACAAAUAAUCCAUCUUUUUCCGGUUUAUUGGUUUUGUAAUGAAAAGUAUAGGGUUUUGUCACUUCUCCAAUUAUCUCUCCAUUAGGUAGGAUUUUAUUGGCCCAAGCGCGUAUUUGUUGAGGAGAAACUGAUCCAAUUCGGAGUUGUUGAUGUUUAUAUCGAUCAAUCAUAGAAGAAAAUUUUUGAUUCAUUCCGAUUAAGCUUCCUUCUUAUUAAUCUGGAAGUUUUUCUCAGAUACAACAAAAUGAUUCAGUUCCAAAGCCAAAGAUCGUAGUUCUCGAACGAGCAAUCGAAAAGAUUCUGGAGCAUCUUCCGGGUUAGGUAUUGUUUCUCCAAUGAUUGUAGUACCAAGUACUUCUUGGCGCGCUCUAAUAUGAUCAGAUUUAUAAGUAAGCAUCUCUUGUAAAAUAUGAGCAACACCAAAGCCCUCUAGAGCCCAAACCUCCAUUUCUCCUACCCGUUGUCCCCCUUGUUUGGACCUUCCUCUAAGGGGUUGUUGGGUAACAAGUGCAUAAUGCCCACUGGAACGUCCGUGUACUUUAUCAUCAACUUGAUGAAUUAAUUUCAAGAUAUAAGGCUUUCCUAUUAGAACAGGUUCUUCAAAAGGAUCUCCCGUUCGUCCAUCAAAUAUUCUGCUUUUUCCCGGGUAUUCCGGCUCAAAUACCCAUGGAUUCGCGGUUUGCUUACUGGCUUCAUAUAAUUCAGAAAACACGAGUUUUCUCGAAGCCUCUUGUUCAUAUCUCUCAUCAAAAGGUGCUAUUCGAUAAUGUCGAUUUAGCAGACCCCCCGCUAACCCGAGCGAGCAUUCAAAUAUCUGUCCUACAUUCAUUCGCGAGGGUACUCCUAGUGGGUUGAAAACCAUAUCAACAGGCCUUCCAUCUUGCAAAUAAGGCAUAUCCUGUCUAGGCAAAAUUUUUGAAACGAUACCCUUAUUUCCAUGUCUUCCAGCUACUUUAUCACCUACUUUGAUUUCACGUUUCUGUGAAAUAUAUACACAAAUCGUUUCUGGAUUAUAACUAGAACCCCCCUUUUUCUGGACCCAUCUCACAUCAAUAACGCGACCCCUACCACCUAUAGGUAGUUUUAGGCAAGUUUCCUUUGAAGUGGAUACCUGAAUGCCAAGUAUGGCCCGUAAUAAUCUAUCUUCCGGAGCAUACGAUGAUUCUUUCGCCGCCUGAGGCGUUAAUUUACCUACUAAAAUAUCGCCGGUCUCUACCCAAGAUCCCAGCAUCACAAUUCCAUUUUUGUCUAAAUUGCGGAGUAACCGGGCUUCUAGAUGUGGUAUUUCAUUAGUGAUCCUUUCGGGACCUUGACUUGUCACAUGAGUCUGAAUUUCGUAUUUCCGUAUGUGAAAAGAAGUAUAAAUAUCUCUAUAUAUCAGACGUUCGCUAAUAAGUACCGCAUCCUCAAAAUUGUAGCCUUCCCAUGGCAUAUAAGCUACUAAUAUGUUUUUCCCUAAAGCGAGUUCGCCGCCAACUGUAGCGGCACCAUCCGCUAAAACUUGGCCCUUUUUAAUGCAUUUACCCCGCCCAACCUGGGGUUUUUGAUGCAUACAAGUAUUUUUGUUUGAACGUUGAUACAUAAUUAAUGGGAUACUAUAUGUAUUACCGUUUCCCGAUAAAACAAUCUUGUCAAUAUCGGUAUAAAUGAUCUUUCCCUCGUGUUCGGCUAUAGCGGGAACCCCUGAAUCUAGAGCCACUUGAGGUUCCAACCCAGUUCCAACAAUGCACUUCUCGGACCGAACGAGCGGAACUGCUUGGCGUUGCAUAUUAGAACUCAUUAAAGCCCGAUUCGCAUCAUUAUGCUCGAUAAAAGGAAUGAGGGAAGCCCCAAUAGAAAAAUAUUGGAAGGGAAAAAUACUUCGAAGAUGAACCUGUUCCCACGCAAUAGUCAGGAACUCUUGACGGUAUCGAGUCGGAACAACCUGUUCUUCCGGACUACCCUGAUUCAGUGCCAAAGAAUUUCCUGCCGCUACCAUAUAGUAUUCAUCUCUACUUGGUGAUAAAUAAAGCAUCCGUACUUUUUUUGAUUUUUCAAAGAUUUCAUAAAACGGGCUUUCUAGAGACCCCCAAUAACCAAUUCUCGCAUGAAUUGCUAAGGAUCCAAUAAGUCCAACAUUGAUUCCUUCGGACGUGUCAAUUGGACAAAUGCGGCCAUAGUGACUAGGAUGGAUAUCUCGUACCCGAAAACUCGCAGUUCGCCCUGUCAAUCCUCCGGGGCCCAAAUAACUCAAUUUUCUCCCAUGAACUAUUUGUGUCAAUGGGUUAGUUCGAUCCAAAACUUGAGAUAAUGGAUGUAAUCCGAAAAAAGAAUCAUAAGUGGUUGUUAAGGGAGUUGAAGUUACCAAAUUUUGAGGAGUUGGCAUCAAUUUAUGCCUAAUUGCUCCACAUAUAGUUCCUCUAAUCACAUUUUCUAACCGAACCAGGGCCAAUCCGAAUUGAUCUUGUAAAAGAUUCGCGACAGACCGAAUACGUUUAUUUUUCAAAUGAUUCAUAUCGUCAAGUGUACCCAUUCCAAAUUUCAGUCCAAUCAAAUGAUCGACAGCUGCCAAUACAUCUCGUGGUAACAAAAAUGUAUUGUUCUGAGGUAUAUUCAGAUUCAGUCUCUGGUUCAUAUUUCGUCUACCAAUCUUUCCUAAUUCACAUCUUUGGUGAAAAAAUUUCUUUUGUAAUUCCUUACAUAAGGAUUCCGAAAAUACCGGAUCUCCGCCUACACAAGCAAAUUGUUGAUAAAACUCCAAAAUGGCAUUUUCUUUUGAUCCAAUUUUUUUUUUCUCCUUAUUCGUCAGGAAAGACAAGAAAAUUUCAGGGUAGCAAAUAUUCUCUAGAAUUUCUCGUAGAUUCGAACCCAUAGCUGCUGAUAGAACUAGAAUAGAUACUUUCUGUUUCCUACUCACACGAGCCCAUAUCCUUGCUUUUCUAUCAAUCUCUAAUUCGAAUCUUCCCCCCAAUCAGAUAUUAUGGUGCCUGUAUAGACCGAAAUUCCGUUAUGGCCCAAUUCUGACCGAUAAUAGAUACCGGGACUUUGCAAUAUUUGAUUGAUGACAAUUCUGUAUAUUCCGUUUACUAUAGAAGUUCCCAAAGAAUUCAUUAGAGGAAUGUUUCCAAUAAAAAUAGUUUGUUCCUGCAUGUCCCCUCGGCUUUUCCAAAUUAAUCCUGCGGAUACAUAUAAUUCAGAAGAAUACGUGAAUGAUUCAUAUACAGCAUCUCUUUCUUUUAGCAAGGGUUCUACCAAUUGAUAUGUUUCCACAAAUAAUUGAAAUUCAAUUUCUUGAUCUGUAUCUUCAAUUUUUGGAAACUUAUAAAGCUCUUCUGUUAAGCCCUGAUCAAUGAACCUACAAAAUCCUUCAAAUUGUAUCUGAUUCAACCCAGGUAUUGUAGACAUUCCUGCAUUUCCAUCUCCGAGCAUUUUGAAUUUCCCAUUUAUCAAAAAAUCCCAUUCGUUUCUCAUUCUGCAUCGAUUCAUAUGAUUCGAUGCAGAAUGCUGGAAUUUAGAUUCUGUUUACUGAAUCGCAUGAAAUUUUACCCAACUCCAUAUAGAUGGAAUGUAUGAAAUACGUAUGAACGGGGGAAAAAGGAUGAUUUUAUACUUAAUAAAAUUGGAAUUUCUAAGAGACAGAUCCAAAUGGAAAGGAAGCGAUAAAUUCCACUUAGACUUACGGAGUUUUGUAUAGAAUCAAAAAAAUAAUUCAAUUUAUACCAUUAUUAUGAUAUUCCAAUCCGUUAGGAUACCAGAAAAAUAAACGUCGUGAUUUGAUCUAUUCGCUAAGAUAAAGACAUAAGAAUCAGACACAAUAUACCAGCGUAAAGCUCAUUUUUUUAGCACUUACCUUUUUCGUGGAUUCCACUGUUCAAAAAAUGAUUUGCGAAGAACCCCCUUUUUAUUUUUUUAGUCGAAUUUUUAGAAUAGGAUUGAAGUGCGUAAGACGGCUUGUAUUUAGUAAACCCGUGCCGAUAUAGCUAUCUAUAUAUACAUCGCCCCCUUUAUUGCAUAGUUCGCUUCGGGACAGCGCAUGUCGUGCUCUAUCAAAAUUUCGAUUUUCUCUUCAAUCUAAAUUGCAGUACGACAAUUUUCGGCAAAUUCCCUAUAGAGAGGCAUCAGACACAGAUAAGAUAACCAAUAAGCUAGCCGCGAAACGAUUUAUGUUUGGGGUUUACAUAUACUCAUAAUUGCUGUUAUAAUUGAAAUGGAGAAGGCUUUUUUUAUAGAAAAAACCAAUAUUGAUUAGGUAGGUAUCAAUUUUGAUUUUCUUCUAUCAUUAGGAAACACAAUUUACAAUUAAAAUUUAAAUCCAAGAGUUGGUCACGAAUUUACAGUCACUAGUUAAUGGUUCCAAUUUGUCCUUAAUUUUGGCUUUUGUGACUGAAAAUGCACAUUUCUUUUUUCAUUUUUCAAUAGAAAAAAAGAAAGAGAAAAGAGAGGGAUUAAGAUGUUGUGUGAGAUACUAUAAAAUCAAUUGAAGAACCGGAGCCGAUCCAAAAAAAGGACAUAUUUUUUUUAGGCAAGGAAUUAAGAAAAACGAGAUUUUAUAUGGACGUACACAAAAAAAAGAAAAGACAUUGAGUACCCCCCCCCAAACAAAACAAGCAAAGGGGGAAUUUUUUCAUCUAUUUUGUAUCGUUUUGGCGGCAUGGCCGAGCGGUAAGGCGGGGGACUGCAAAUCCUUUUUCCCCAGUUCAAAUCUGGGUGUCGCCUGAUCAACAAACGAUAAGACUCGCAAUCCCUUAUUCUGCUUGGCUGGUCUAACUCGCCGAAUCUUUUCCAGCAAAGUACGCGACUCUUGACAUUUUCGUGAUUCGAAAUAGCUGGGGUUUCUGUUCUUUUUUUUUUCUGUUCCUUAAACUUAAAGUGCUGUUAAUCCUUGCAUUUAGGAUUCACGGAAAGAUUAUAGUAGUAGAAGCGCUUUCAUAUCAAAUCAAGAGUUACCGAUUUAUUUCCACUGCUAAUUGCUAAUGCAGGGUCUACUGACCGGGUCUUGAAUUAGAUUGAAAAGCCCGAGGGAGAAUCGAAUUAAUCGUUAUGGAAGGGGCGGGAGAUACUUUGUAUGCAGUAUACAGACUCAUAAGAGUCUCUGAAUGCACGGGCAUUCAAUCAAUAUUCGAUUGGACGGAUAAUUGGCUUUUACUUAAUGAUAAUAAAGGGCAACAAAAAAAACGAGGAGUUCUUAUUAUUACUACAGAUUAGGUAACACUCCCUUUGAUACUUCCAAAGAAAAGUGCGACUGUGUAUUUUGUUUCAUUUUUCCGGAUUCUACUAGAAAUCAUAUACGAACUUGUUCUAAGUGGAUUUAUUGGAGCGUUUCAUAUUUAGUGGAGUCUUUCAUCAAGGGCGUUGGGCCAGAAUCCCUUUUUGACUCUGCGCCAGUGAUUCCACUAUUAUUAGGAAACAAUAAUAGAAUAAAUUCUUCAUAUUCAUAGAGAUAGGGGACAUAAUUCACAUGGAUAUAGUAAGUCUCGCUUGGGCUGCUUUAAUGGUAGUCUUUACAUUUUCCCUUUCGCUCGUAGUAUGGGGAAGAAGUGGACUCUAGAGAUACUACUAAUUGAGUUGGGGAAUCAAACUGUAUCACUUUUUUUAUAGAUCGUUCUGCAAAGCCUUUUUAAUUAUAUUAAUUAUUUAAGAAUUAAUAUAAUAAUUAAAUUCAGUAAUUAAAUUCCAUUUAGAAUUUCGAAAUUGAAUUAAUCAAAAUACCUUCAUUUCGGAAUUCUAUUGGCUUGGAUUCUGGCGAGGUAAUUGUAUUCGAUUCUAUUAUGAAUAGAAUACAAUUCAUAAUAUAUAUGAAUAAUGCUCUUUCCGAAUCCAAAUCAAACCGAUAUUUCCAAAAUUCCCCUAUUUCUAUUUUGAAAGGAAGGGGAUACAGAUCAUAGGAAUUUUAUUCCAACCGAAGUCUUCCUAGAUUUUCUAUUUGGUUUUUCUGAACCGGCCCUUGCCAGAGUUCUCUAUGGACAAUGGGGAAGAACGCGGAAAACCGGACCCCCUUUUUUUUUAUUGGACUGUUCAAAGAGAAAAGAAAGGGUUCACGAUUUAAUUUGAAUAGUUAAUAAUAAUAAGAUUGUGCUUUGGUCAAGUCACAUAUUUCGCACUUACCACCGAUUUUAUUAUUUUUUAUUAUUUGAGUAUUUUAGAAAUUUGCUUUCUGCUAUGCUUUAUUGACCCGUUUCAUAUCAUGGCUCCAGGGUUGACAAUCGCCGGGUACCCCUUUUUGAAAUCGGAAGAAGUUAUAGAAUAGAACUCCUUGGAUCAUCUGUCAACCGCUCAAUCAACGACUUCUUCGGAAUGCUAAAAAAAACGAUUACUUUAUUUCUUUCCUAUUUCAUUUUCUUUUAUUAACUUGAUUUUCUUUUAGUAAUAUAUGCCCAAAUUUGUUUUUCUUUCAUCGAUUUGAUUCUUUUUUUAUUUUUAAUGGAUACCGAGAUUCAUAUUGAAAAUAAUCUGAAAUAAAUAAAUUUGAAAAUCGUAAGAGCAGCCUUUCGAUUAUUUCAGAUUGAUUGGAAUGAACAAAAAGAAAAUACAAAUAGACGAAGCAAAGAAAUAGAAUUGAGAUACUAUGUAUCUAUUAACAUGUAUAAGGAUCCAUAUCCAUAUUGUAGAUUGAUCUCUAUUCAGUUUCUAUCUUUAUACAUAAAAAAAAAUAAAAAUAGAUAGUAUGGUAGAAAGAUUCAUAUAUGAAUCUUUCUACCAUACUAUCGAAUCUCAUAGGCUACUGCUGAUUCUAGUCCGUUGGUUUCAUUUAAGACUAAGACAUGAAAUUGAAAUUUGUUUCUUAAAUCCUUGAUAAGAACUAAGAAGUCAAGUUUCGUUCAAAUUAAUCACUUUGACUGACCGUUUUUACGUAUAUUAUAAGCAAAAACGCAGUAGGAACUAGAACGAACAGUGUAGUAGCAAUAAAUGCGAGAAUAUUUACUUCCAUAGUCUCAUCGUUUGGUUUUUUUUUUACUUCGCAAUAACUCGGGAUUUAAUCCCAUAGAGAUGAUAACCCUUUCGCUUGUAAAUUCAAUGGGAUGAAUUACAUUUCGAUGAUAGCGAAUGGGAUCAAUAUCAUGAAUAACAAUAUUUGACUGUCAAGUCGAUUCAUCGUCGAGAAUUCAAUAGUAUAACAUAGGCAGCUCUUUUAUCCACACACCAAAUACAAACUUUGAUUCCUGAUUCAAUCAAAAGAAUUCCUUUACUUUAAUACUAAUACUUUUUUAAUACUAAUACUUUUUUUAUUUACCAGUCUUUUCCAGUCUGUCUUUUCUAUAAUCGACCGCCUUACUUGUACAACCCCCUAACCGCUUUACACUUUCCUUGUUUACAAAGGGUUUAGAAAAAAACCAAACAAACAAUCGAAACGAAAUAGAAAAAGAAAAAGGGAAGGGGUUAAGUUCUAAACCCCUUUUCAUUUUCUUUUUUUCAAGAAAAUUAUAUCAUUAAAAAAAAAAAAACGAAAAAGAAGUGUGAUAAAGACGAGUCCCAGUAUAAAAGAAUCGAAUAUUUCAUAAAAUUGACUAUUUUAUUUAGAUUUAUUUAGAGUUUCUUCUUCUUUGGCAAUACGCUUAAAAAAGAUUAUUCAUUCCCUCUUCGGGAGGGGUUGGCGCCUUGCUUGAUCUUUAUUUUAUUAAGAAUAUCAUCCCCCCUCCCUUGGAUUAGUACUAGAACGUAUCCCUCAAAAGUUCGGCGUGAAAUUUGAAUGAGAUAAAUUCUUUCAAAUUCAAACUAGUAAUUUAAGUUAGCCAAACUAGAAACCAGAAAAGAAGAUACUUUGAAUCUUAAUCUUAAAAGUAUUCUAUCAAAGUAACGAUCUUAAAUUCAGUUGUGUAUACGCUCCCGGGAACGAUAUGGUACUCGAUUCCAUUCCAUACACAGAUGGGGGACAGUCAAAAAAACCAGACCCCCUACGGUAGCUCUUGGAAUCCUGAAUAUGAUGCUACCAAUAAUUGUAGCAAUUCGCACAUGUCUCUUUCUCAUCAAUCGGUACUAGUUGAUGAGAAAUCGAAAUGAAAAAGAAAAAAGAGCAAAGGAGAGCAGUAGGCAUGAAAUUCUACCAUUUUAUUUUGCCCCAGUUUAACAGAAACGGCGAGAUAUAUUGAUGUUUUUUUUUAUUGGAUUUGGAUCCGUCGGGACUGACGGGGCUCGAACCCGCAGCUUCCGCCUUGACAGGGCGGUGCUCUGACCAAUUGAACUACAAUCCCGGGGCGGUAAAAUGUACCGAAUACCUAUUUUUAUGAUUUCAUUCAAACAAUUUCAUUUAUAUUUAGAUAAAUAUCGACGUGUUGGAACCGAGACGUGAGUGAGAUAUUGAUAUACACACGGAUAUACACUUUAGUGAGAGCGGCACGGAUUCCUUUCGUUAUUGCCAAAUCAAUUGAUAAUUCGUUUUUCAAUGUCCCAAAAAAAAAAGAGUCUUUUUUUGCGUUACUUUAUUCUUUUCAUUAGACUUUAUGCUUUCGAUUUCAUGAUCCUGAUAUGAAUCUAGAUCAUUAUUAGCAAGAUCAGAAUUUAUGGGAACAAAUAAAUGGAGCAAACAAAAUAAAUAAAUAGCGGUAGGGAUCUAUCGGAGAAUUGGACUCUUUUGAUUCUUGAGUCUUUCGUAUCUGGCAUUUCUGGAAAACAAAGGGGGUUAUAUCAUUUCCUGUUGGAUCAGCGAAUUAUUGGGCCGAGCUGGAUUUGAACCAGCGUAGACAUAUUGCCAACGAAUUUACAGUCCGUCCCCAUUAACCGCUCGGGCAUCGACCCAGGAAGAAUAAAGUCUAGGCUUAUUUAUAAUCCACGAUCAACUUCCUUUCGUAGUACCCUACCCCCAGGGGAAGUCGAAUCCCCGCUGCCUCCUUGAAAGAGAGAUGUCCUGAACCGCUAGACGAUGGGGGCAUAUUUGCCCGACUGCCAUCAUACUUAGUAUGAACAGUUUUUUGAAAUUGUCAAUAUAAUGGAAUGGAUGACUAACUCUAAAGUAAAGGAUCUUUCCACCUUUUCUGAUCCCAUACCAAUAGCUUUUUUUGAUUCGUCCAUCAAUCGCUCAUUCUAAUCGCCAUUCUAGUCUAAAAUCGAAAUCUAUUAUAGAAAUUGCUAUAAAUAAUAAUAAAAAUAAAAAUAGGCCGAAAGACGAAAGUAGAGGACUCUUUUGGGAAGUGAUUGGUCCGACAUAAAAGAAGAUUUUUUCUUCAUUUCUUCCACUUAACUUUCAUUCAUUUAUCCACUCCUUGGUAAGAUGAGAUCGGACUAUUCCUAUAUCGCCCUAAGCUGGGAAAUUCACAAAUGAGAAAUCCGAAAAUCUGGGAACGGGGAUUAAGAUUAACAAGUUAUCAAUUUUUUUUUUUUUUUUUUUUUUCUCUAAAAUUUGGGUUCGGGGAACAAACAGAAUCUCUUUAUCACAUGUGAAAUCCGGUGGAUCUAUGUCGAAUUGGUAGGUCCAUGUAUCCAUGUAUCAAUCAAAUAAGUUUCGUUCCGUUCUGAUGGGUCAGAUCAAUUUAAGUCAAUUCCAUUAGGGUCGGUCUUGAAAUUAGGGUCGGUCUUGAAACACUUCAUUUCAUUGAUAUUUAUCAAAUCCAAUAUCAAUAAACCCGGGUUAACCGAUACUUAUACUUAUUACUUAUUAAGUAAAUUAAGUAAAUCAAAAUUAUCGUUCCCCUAGGUGACACUCGCCGCUAUGAGUCUACUGCAUAUACUUAUAAUUAUAAUAUAUAUAUAGAUAGAUAUAGAUCUAUCUUAUCCGCCUAGUGACUCCUUCAAUAAUUGAAUCCAAUUGCCCUUUUAACUCAGUGGUAGAGUAACGCCAUGGUAAGGCGUAAGUCAUCGGUUCAAAUCCGAUAAGGGGCUUUUUGGCCUUUUUCAUAAAUAUAAAUAAAGUAAAGUGGUAAUAUUCAUAUUGAAACGGGAAUAAAAAUUGUGUUGAUUUGUAAUAAAAAAAGUAACCAACUGGAUAAUAAUGUAAUUAUAAACUUUCGAAUUUAAUGAUAAUACGUUAUCCUUAUAAUGAGUUAGAAUAUAGUAAUUAAUGAGUUAGAAUAUAGUAAUUAGAAUAGUAAUUCUCCUUCUAAAAGAAAGUUGCUAAAAGAAAGUUGAACGCUUGUUUAUUAUAAUGAGUAAUGUGAAGUCGUCUCUUCGAUCACCAAAUAUUUUUCUUUUCCAUUAUUCCAAUCUAAUCUAUUGUAAAGAUUCGAAAUCAACAAAAUAAAAAGUAAGUGGACCUAACCCAUUGAAUCAUGACUAUAUCCACUAUUCUGAUAUUCAAAUUGCAAAUUCGAUAGCUAUGAAAUUCGAACAGUAGAUUUUUUUUAUUUGAUAUUUCUUUGGACUCCGCAAGAAUCCGUCGAUAUUUCCGAUUCAAUCCGCUUUUUCCUAGGCGUUCCAUACUAAGAUACUAAGAAAGGGUGAUUCCAAGUUCCAAGACAAGAGCUGUUUCCAAUAUGUUUCUUUUUCUUUGAUUCCCGAACCGAACACAAGAAGAUCAAGUUUGAUCUCUAUCUAAUUUAUAUCGAUAUCUGAUUUAUAUAUAAAUCAGAUCGCGGCUUCAUGUAUCAAAUAUUUUCAUAUCAAGGCAUACGAUCUUUUUGUUUUGUUCCGACAAUGUUAGGAUAGUGGGGGUGAGAAAGAAACUUUCAUUUACAGUCUCCUAUUAUUUAAUUUAAUAUUGUAUUGAAUUUCAAAAAUCAAAAUUAGAAGAGUACAUAAAAAUAUUGAUUUUUCUCAAUCUCACGAACAAGAUCCAAGAAGAAAUAAAUAGAGCGAGAGGAGUAGGUCUGGUAUCAACCGGUAAGGAGAGAGGGGAUCGCUUCUUCUGAAAAGUUCUUUCAAAGAAUUAAUCGAUCUGAUUGAUGAGUCAUAAUAAGCAACUCAUAGUUCAGUUUCAAACCAGUAUUAACAAGAAACAAUAGGAAGGAAUAAACGAAUUGAGUUCAUGGAUUUACCUAAGUAAGGCUAUGGACCAAUACCGGAUUUUUAUCUUCGAAACCAAUUAGAAGGGGCAAUGUACGGUACGAGAAAUCAAAUCAUCCCUAAAUGAUCGAAUCCUCGAAGGACCCGGAAGUGCCAUAACAUAAGGUGUUCGAAAAUGGUUGAAGUAGUUGAAUAGGAGGACCAUUAUGACUAUAGCCCUUGGUAAAUUUACCAAAGAGGAAAAGGAUUUAUUUGAUAUUAUGGAUGACUGGUUACGGAGGACCGAUUCGUUUUUGUAGGUUGGUCUGGCCUAUUGCUCUUUCUUGUGCCUAUUUCGCUUUAGGGGUUGGUUCACAGCACAACCUUUGUAACUUCAUGGUAUACCCAUGGAUUAGCCAGUUCCUAUUUGGAAGGCUGCAACUUCUUAACCGCCGCAGUUUCGACUCCUGCUAAUAGUUUAGCGCAUUCUUUGUUGUUACUAUGGGUCCUGAAGCACAAGGAGAUUUUACUCGCUGGUGUCAAUUAGGCGGUCUUUGGACUUUUGUUGCUCUACACGGUGCUUUCGGACUAAUAGGUUUCAUGUUACGUCAAUUUGAACUUGCUCGCUCUGUUCAAUUGCGACCUUAUAAUGCAAUAGCAUUCUCUGCUCCAAUUGCUGUUUUUGUUUCUGUAUUCCUGAUUUAUCCACUAGGUCAGUCUGGUUGGUUCUUUGCGCCUAGUUUGGUGUAGCGGCGAUAUUUCGAUUCAUCCUUUUUUCCAAGGUUCAUAAUUGGACAUUGAACCCCUUUCAUAUGAUGGGAGUUGCCGGUGUAUUGGGCGCUGCUCUGCUAUGUGCAUUCAUGGCGCUACCGUAGAAAAUACUUAUUUGAAGAUGGUGAUGUGCAAACACAUUCCGUGCUUUUAACCCAACGCAAGCCGAAGAAACCUAUUCGAUGGUCACCGCUAACCGCUUUGGUCCAAAUCUUUGGGGUGCUUUUCCAAUAAACGUGGUUACAUUUCUUAUUUAUUGUACCAGUAACCGGUUUAUGGAUGAGUCUCUUGGAGUAUCGCCUAGCCCUGAACCUACGUGCUUAUGACUUCGUUUCCAGAAAUCCGUGCAGCGGAAGAUCCUGAAUUGAGACUUUCUACACAAAAAUAUUCUUUUAACGAGGUAUUCGUGCUUGGAUGGCGGCUCAAGAUCAGCCUCAUGAAACCUUAUAUCCCUGAGAGUUCUACCCGUGGAAACGCUCUUUAAUGGAACUUUAGCUGUAGCAGGUCGUGACCAAGAAACCACCGGUUCGCUUGUGGCCGGAAUGCCGACUUAUCAAUUAUCCGUAAACUGCUGGCGCUCAUGUAGCCAUGCUGGAUUAAUCGUAUUCUGGCCGAGCAAUGAACCUAUUUGAGUGGCUCAUUUCGUACAGAAAAGCCAUGUAUGAACAAGGAUUAAUUUUACUUCCCACCUAGCUACUCUAGGCUGGGGGUAGUCCUGGUGGGAAGUUAUAGACACCUUUCCAUACUUGUAUCUGGAGUACUUCACUUAAUUCCUCUGCAGUAUUGGCUUUGGCGUAUUUAUCAUGCACUUCUGACCUGAGACUCUUGAAGAAUCUUUCCAUUCUUCGGUUAUGUAUGAAAGAUAGAAAUAAAUGACCACAAUUUUGGGUAUUCACCUAAUCUUUAGUAUAGGUGCUUUUCUUCUAGUAUUCAGGCUCUUUAUUUUGGGGCGUGUAUGAUACCUGGCUCCGGGGGGGAUGUAAGAAAAAUUACCAACUUGACCCUUAGCCCAAGUGUUAUUUUUGGUUAUUUACUAAAUCCUUCUUUGAGGAGAGGGUGGAUUGUUAGUGUGAUGAUUUGGAAGAUAUAAUUGGAGUCAUGUAUGGUUAGGUUCCAUUUGUAUAUUGGAAUCUGGCAUAUCUUAACCAAGCCUUUGCAUGGGCUCGCCGUGCACUUGUAGGUUGGGAGCUUACUUGUCUUAUAUUAGGUGCUUAGCUGUUUUUGGUUUCAUGCUUGUUCUUUGUCUGGUUCAAUAAUACCGCUUAUCCAGUGAGUUUAUGGCCCACUGGGCCAGAACUUCUCAACUCAAGCAUUUACUUUUCUGGUUAGAGACCAACGUCUUGGGCUAAUGUGGAUCCGCUCAGGGCCUACUGUUUAGUAAAUAUCUAAUGCGUUCCUACUGGAGAAGUCAUUUGGGGAAACUAUGCUUUUUGGAUCUGCGUGCUCCAUGGUUAGAACCUCUAAGGGUCCCAACGUUUAGACUUGAGUAGGUGAAAAAGGACAUACAACCUUGCAAGAACGACGUUCUGCGAAUAUAUGACUCAUGCUCUUUAGUUCUUUAAAUUCUGGGUGGAUAGCUACCGAGAUCAAUGCAGUUAAUUAUGUCUCUCGAGAACUUGGUUAUCUACUUCUCAUUUUGUUCUAGCUUCUUCUUCUUCGUAGUCACUUAUGGCACGCGGAGAGCUCGUGCAGCUGCAGCAGGGUUUGAAAAGGAAUUGAUCGUGAUUUUGAACCUGUUCUUUCGAUACUCCUCUUAACUGAGACAGGGAUCCAAGGCGUAUGCUUAAAUAAAUAGAAAUUGGUUUAUUGCACCUGCAUAUUGAGGAAGCGAUUAUACUUAAAAAAAGUAUUCCUUUUUCCUUUUCUUCAACUCAGUUAUAUCUAAUCUAUUUAUAUAUAUUUUUUUUUUCUGGCUCGCUAUCCUCCUAGCCGAGCCAUUCCCUUUUAUGAGACGAAAAGCCAGGCAAACCCAAUAAAGAAAAAAGCGAUUCACCGAGCACAAGAGAGAGGGAUCGAACCCUCGAUAUUCUUGUUCGAACUAUAACCGGUUUCAAGACCGGAGCUAUCAACACUCGCCACCUCUCCGAAAGACAAUUCUAUUUACUUUACUGAAUAGAACAUGGCUAUAUGAGUUAGUUGAUACCAUUACUAUGUAUAGAAAGAUAUUAGGCGUGACCUUAUAGUUAUAGGUCAAUCUAUCUGAUAUACAUGAAAUAGAUCGAUGUAUGACCAGCACUCCCAUUUUGAAGUAAAAAAAAUACUCUCGACCAUUCCGAAUCAAAGUGUAAGGUGGAAAUACUCAUAUAGAAUCAAUGGAUUCAUGUAAAUCCCCUAGAUGCAUUCUAUUCCAUUUUUGGCUGAUAGGAUCAAAUGUAUAGUUCUUUUUUGUUGGUAGCUUGGAGGAUUAGAAACAUGACUAUUGCUUUCCAUUGGCUGUUUUUGCAUUAUUGCUACUUCAUCAAUCUUACUGAUUAGUGUACCCGUUUAUUUGCUUCUCCGGAUGGUUGGUCGAGUAACAAAAAUUCGUAUUUUCUGUACAUAUUGUGGAUUGAUAUCUUUCUGGGGUUCCUUAACUCUCUCAUUCUAAAUCUAUUCGUUCCCAAUCCAACAAUGAAAUGCCCCCCCACGAAUUUUCGGGUUGAGACACAUUAAAAUUCACUAUAAGUCUCCAAAAUGCAAAUAAAAAAAAAACACAAAAAUUCGUGGGAGGUCAACUUCUGGAACUCGAAUGAAAAAUAAACAAUAAAUUAUAUUAUUUAAAAUUCGAUUAUUAGAUAGAACGAAAAAUUAUAUAUAUAAAAAAAAAUAAGAUAAAAAUAAUAAUAAUCGAAAUUAGAUAAUUAGAAUCUAUUUAAUAGAAUUCUGAAAAAGAUAAUUAAUAUCUAAUAAUUAUAGAAAUAUAUUAUUAAUAGAAAAUAUCUAUAUAGAAAUAAAUAGUAAUAAUAAUAGAAAUAAAAUAUUGAAAACUAUUCAUAAUGAAUAUAAUAAUAUAUAAUAUUGAAAAUUGCAAUAUUACUUGCUUCAUUAAAUUGGUUUGGUAGUGGAAUUGAUGGAAUACCUGAAGAGAGUAUCUGGCCUAACUCUGGAUAAAGAUUUUCAGCCAUUUCAAGGAAAAAAUGCGGAUAUAUCGAAUGGUAAAUUUCUCUUUGCCAAGGAGAAGACGCGGUUCGAUUCCGCUAUCCGCCAAGGUAAAUAUGUAGUUAAAGGAUAAACACUUCUUAGUUAAUGGAUAACACUUCUAGUUAAUAGGAUAAACGACUUCUUAUAGUUGACCGUGAUAGUAUACGGUUCUAUCUUUCCACCCAAGAAAAAAAAAAAAAAAAAAGAGAAAAGUGCUAAUUAAUAGUUAACAGAAUCCACCUCAUUUUUUUGUCAAAAAAUAAAAAUGUUGCGGAGACGGAUUUGACCCUGACCUCAGUUAUGAGCCUUGCGAGCUACAAACUGCUCUACCCGCGAUGAAGAAAGGACUGGGAAGAACUAAGAACAAACAAGGAUGAAUGCGCCCCUUUCCAUACCCGUACAAAUAGAUAGCCUAUUGUACAGAAUGGUAAAGGGCCGCCUCUAUGAUGAUAGAUCAUAGAAAUCCAAUCGAAAAAAAGAAAAAUGAAGGAUAUUUUUAAUCCUUACCAACUUGAUCUUGUUGCCCCCGGCAACAAACACGCAUGAACCAUUUCACGAAGUAUGUGUCCGGAUAGUCCAAAGUCUCGAUAGUUAGCUCUCGGCCUUCCGGUCAAAAAACAACGUCGAUGAAGACGGGUAGGUGCACUAUUACGCGGUGAGGAUUGUAACUUUCCAUGAAUUUUCCAUUUAUCGCUCAACGAUGGAGCUUUGUUUAUUCUUUUUUUGAGGAUCGACGAAUCAAAUGAUAUUUUUGUUCCAAUUUGUGCCUUUUCUUUUCCCUCUGAAUCAAACUUUGCCUUGCCAUAGCGGUUCCGUCCCUAUUAUUAUCAAUGAUACAAGUCGGAUCCUAGAUGUAGAAAUAUAGCUGUAGAAUAUAAGAAGGCAUACCCCUUCUCUACCGAAGAAAUGAUAUUAUCGCGCGAUACAAGACAGAAAGAAUUAACCAAAUUUGCCCGAUGUAGAGGCAAUCAAGAAAGCCGCAUAAGUGAUAUAUAACCUACAAGAAGUGGGCUAAUCCAACCAAUCGUGCUUGCACAAUGGAAAGGGCCACUGGUUUAUCUCUCCAUCGAAUCAAAUUAGCUAAGGGUGUGCGUUCGUGAGCCCACGCUAAAGUUUCAAUCAAUUCUUGCCAAUACCCGCGCCAGGAAAUUAAAAACAUAAAUCCAGUAGCCCAAACAAGAUGUCCAAAUAAGAACAUCCACGCCCAGACUGAUAAACUAUUCAUACCAAACGGGUUAUACCCAUUGAUAAGUUGGAAGAGUUUAACCAUAGAUAAUCUCUUAACCAUCCCAUCAAAUAAGUGGAAGAUUCAUUAAACUGUGAAACGUUACCCUGCCAUAACGUGAUGUGUUUCCAAUGCCAAUAAAAAGUAACCCACCCAAUGGUAUUUAACAUCCAGAAAACUGCCAAAUAAAAUGCGUCCCAAGCCGAAAUAUCACAAGUACCGCCUCGUCCCGGACCGUCGCAAGGAAAACUAUAACCGAAAUCCUUUUUAUCUGGCAUUAACUUAGAACCCCGUGCAUCUAAAGCCCCCUUUACCAAGAUCAAUGUAGUUGUAUGUAAACCUAGAGCAAUAGCAUGAUGAACCAAAAAGUCUCCAGGGCCUAUUGUUAAGAAUAGAGAAUUACUAUUCUCAUUAACAGCACUUAACCAGCCAGGCAACCAUAUGCUUCGACCCGCAUUGAAUGCAGGGCCAUCCGUUGAAGAUAAAAGUACAUCGAAUCCAUAUGAAGUUUUACCAUGAGCAGAUUGUAUCCAUUGGGCAAAUAUCGGUUCGAUCAAGAUUUGUUUCUCCGGAGUACCAAAAGCAAGCAUGACAUCAUUAUGAACAUAAAGUCCCAAAGUAUGGAACCCCAGAAACAAGCUGGCCCAACUUAAAUGGGAUAUAAUAGCUUCCUUAUGGUCUAACAUUCUUGCCAAUACAUUAUCCUCAUUCUG
rnacentral:lncRNA from 1 species